GAGAGCAAAUACGGCCGAGUGUCAUCAGCACGCCUCAUAAAGUAUCCGGCACUUCCGCAGGCUGCAGUGCUUUACAGGACUUGUGAUGUAGAUCGUCGUCAUUUUUGUUUCACAAACAAGGAAGGAGAAUCUCAGAGAUUCCGUAAACUCCAUAAAGCGGUGAUUCAUGACAGAAGCAGGGACGCAACUUCGACCAGUUGUGAAGGAUCAAACCCAGGACCGUGUUCAGGCUAAGCAAGCAUCCAACCACUGCGCUACAUCAGAAGCCCUUUUUUUGUGACUGGCUCUCUCUAUGUAAAGCUGACCUUGAACUUCCUCUGUACUCCACAUUGACCUGGAAACUGUCCUCUCUCUACCUACAUAGUGCUUGGAUUAUAGCUGUGACCACCUCAGAAGGUAUCAAGAAGCAAAGUGAAUACCAUGGGGAACAGUUCACAGUAAUUCCAGUUAGGAGCCUAAGAAAGAAGACUGCCAGAGCCUGACAAAUACAGAUGCGGAUGCUCACAGCCAAUCACUGAGCACGGGGACCACAUGGAGGAGUUAGAAAGAACUGAAGAAGCUGAAGGGGUUUGCAACUCCAUAGGAAGAACAACAAUGUGAACUAACCAGACCCACCAGAGCUCCCAGGAACUAAACCGCCAACCAAAGUGUACACAUGGAGGGACGCAUGGCUCCAGCCGCAUAUGUAGCGAGGAUGGCCUUGUCAGGCAUCAAUGGGAGGGGAGGCCCUUGGUCCUGAGAAAGCUUGAUGCCCCAGUGUAGGGGAAUGCCAGGGCAGGGAGGCGGGAGUGGGUGGGUGGGUGGUGGAGCACCCUCACAGAAGCAGGGAGAGGGAGGAUGGGAUAGGGGAUUUCCAGAGGGGAAACCAGGAAAGGGGAUUACAUUUGAAACGUAAAUAAAGAAAAUAUCCAAU
rnacentral:lncRNA from 1 species